rnacentral:tRNA from 1 species
AUUUAAAUAGCUUAAUUUUAGAGCAUAAUAUUGAAAAUAUUAAGGUAAUGUUUUAUUUUUAAAUG